rnacentral:rRNA from 1 species
CAGGUAGUUGGUGAGGUAAUGGCUCACCAAGCCUACGACGGGUAGCCGGCCUGAGAGGGUGACCGGCCACACUGGGACUGAGACACGGCCCAGACUCCUACGGGAGGCAGCAGUGGGGAAUAUUGCACAAUGGGCGCAAGCCUGAUGCAGCAACGCCGCGUGAGGGACGACGGCCUUCGGGUUGUAAACCUCUUUUAGUAGGGAAGAAGCGAAAGUGACGGUACCUGCAGAAAAAGCACCGGCUAACUACGUGCCAGCAGCCGCGGUAAUACGUAGGGUGCAAGCGUUGUCCGGAAUUAUUGGGCGUAAAGAGCUCGUAGGCGGUUUGUCGCGUCUGCUGUGAAAUCCCGAGGCUCAACCUCGGGCCUGCAGUGGGUACGGGCAGACUAGAGUGCGGUAGGGGAGAAUGGAAUUCCUGGUGUAGCGGUGGAAUGCGCAGAUAUCAGGAGGAACACCGAUGGCGAAGGCAGUUCUCUGGGCCGUAACUGACGCUGAGGAGCGAAAGCGUGGGGAGCGAACAGGAUUAGAUACCCUGGUAGUCCACGCCGU